rnacentral:tRNA from 4 species
CGGGGUGUAGCUCAGCUUGGUAGAGCACUGCCUUCGGGAGGCAGGGGCCGGAGGUUCAAAUCCUCUCACCCCGACCA